UACGAAGGGGGCAAGCGUUGUUCGGAAUUAUUGGGCGUAAAGGGCGCGUAGGCGGCUCGGUAAGUCACCUGUGAAAACUCUGGGCUCAACUCAGAGCCUGCAGGCGAAACUGCCGUGCUUGAGUGUGGGAGAGGUGCGUGGAAUUCCCGGUGUAGCGGUGAAAUGCGUAGAUAUCGUAAGGAAGACCAGUGGCGAAGGCGGGUCUCUGGACAGUUCCUGACGCUGAGGCACGAAGGCCUGGGGAGCAAACGGG
rnacentral:rRNA from 1 species